UGAAUGCACUAACUGUAAGUCGCUCUGGAUAAGAGUGUCUGCUAAAUGAUUAAAA
rfam:Salmo salar isolate Sally breed double haploid chromosome ssa18, whole genome shotgun sequence.